CGGCUAUGAGGAUGAUACAUUUAUAAUGACUUCAUAUGUGAUUAUAUAAUACGCUAUUCUGAGCCUUGU